ensembl:lncRNA
GCAUAUGGAAGUUCCCAGGCUAGGGGUCCAAUCAGAGCUACAGCUGCUGGCCUACACCACAGUCAUAGCAACGUAGUACCUGAGGCUCAUCUGCGAUCUAUGCUGCACUUAAGGCAAUGCCAGAUCCUUAACCCACUGAACGAGGCCAGGGAUUGAAAGUCAGUUCUCUCCUGGCCUCUAAGAUCCCUGCCCUGUUUCUCUAGAGGUACUUUUUUUUUUUUUCCCCUGGAAAGCUUGUCUAGCCUAUGUUCUGGGCCCCCAACAGCCCAGGGUCUAGCCAAAAGCCUCCUGAACUGGUCACCUGAAUCAUCCCUCCCCUCCCUGGGCCUUUCACCAAAGUCCUUCCAGGCAAGAUUAUAAGGCUACACAUGAGGACGAAGUGCUGUAAUGGACUAAAAAGUGCCUGUCAGCCAUCAAAUACUACAAGGCAGCAGGACAGGUACCUCUGUGAAAGAGACCAGAAGCUCCCAGACCUGAUGGAACCCCCCAGAGUCUUAAGCUGCAGUUGUGACAGCUGCCAGGAUUGUCUCUUCCUGUUUCCUAAGCCUGAUUAUUUAAAAGGAACAUAUACAGCUCACAUGCAAAUAGCAUCUACCUACCACUUGGAAAAUCCAUUCUUUCUCACCUCUCCCUCUGCUAUUCUGUAUGGCCUCUGCAAGCGACUUCCUGUCUUCUGGAACUUGGAAACCAAGAUUCCUUCUUUUCCAGAGAUUACAGGGUAGUCAGCAAAUCCAAAAGGGAAUCACAGUGCAGCAAGCCUGGCCUUUAACCACACUCUAUGCUGGGCAUGGUGUGUCACACUGCCACACUCACUUACCAGCAGGUAGCUCCGGUUCUUAACCGGAAAACCCUUCUUGUUGGUAACGUUAGUCACUUGCUGCAGAUGAUAUUUCAAAGCGUUCUUCUCAUAGACACAGUGGGGAGGGUUACUGGACUGGUGGGUGGAAAACCUGAGCCUAAUUCUGGCUUUGCUCUUCCCUCUCUGGGGAAGUUGUUAAACCUUGGGCCAGUCGCUUCUCCCUGGGUUCAGUUUUCCAAUGCAUUCAAUGAAUGGACCCAUUCGGCCACCUCUUAGGUCCCAUCCUCUGCCUCCCCCCAUCCUUGUCCUAUAGGCUGAGGAUAAUAAGCAAGGUAACAAUGAUGGCAAUCUUAAUUGAAAAGAUGCCAGAUACAUUCAUCCUAUAUCAAUGUCAGGUCCUAAGGUUUAUCCAACUGAUUUUCUUGGCUAGCUGAAUUGUUUCUGUUUUUGAUUUUUUGAGAAACGUGACCCGAUGUCACAAUUUGAGCAGGUAUCAGCAAACACAAACAUGGUCUGGGUUUAAAGGGGCUAAGGCUUCACCCACCUUCCUGAACUUCCCAGAAGCUCCCAAAGGCACCAGCCCCAGCACUGUUUCGAGUCAUUCACCACAAGUGUGCAAGCCAGCAGGCAUGUGAUCUCGCGGGAGCACCUGCCUUCAACCUGGGGCUUGCAGGCUGGCCUCCCCGCAGUUUUGCUCAGAGGGUUAGAGGUUAGCUGACAGCACGUUUAGACCCUGCCCUCCAAGGCUGCUGUGGGCCAGCCAAAUGUGGGAGUGAAGGCAUUCCGGUGCCCUGCCCCCGCCCCAUCAGGAAAGGCCUUCUUGGCAACCAUCCUGUUCAGGGACCAUUAGGAAAGUGCACUUUCCCUUGGUCUCACUGGCUCUAGUCAAGUUUUCAGGGGGGCAGGGAGGGGAGGGGUCAGGGGGAGGCUGCUAUGAGCCAAUGUUGAAAGCUUCUGUUUUCUGCCCUCGCCCCCAGUUUGCAGUGCAAGGUCCCAGCUUGGCCAGAAAUCAACUAGGCAGUUUUGUUCCAAAGUAGCAACUUGGUUUUUAUCAAAGAUGGAAUGCAGGGUUGUGAUCGUUUCUAAUGCCUCUGCAUGGCAACCAGGACUCUUGCUCCAAGCAUUCCUGAAUCCUCUUCUAUGGGCAGACACUUGGCUUUCCCCCAUCCUAUCUCUGUCCAAAUGCUGCGUGCAGAGCAGCUCAAGUACCCCCCAAAUUAAGAAAACAAAGUUCUGGAGACUCAAAGGACCUUUAUUAAAGUGUCUAUUUUAAAUCCAAGUUCUAGCGGUGAUCCCAACUCCAUAAACCCCACCCUAAAUUUCCCAAGAUCCACAGCACUGGGGAAUGGUACAAAGGACUCCGAGCUGGCUUCUGGCCCCCACUCUGCCCUAUGUUGCCUGAACCAGUCCCUGGCCCUCUCUGGGCCUUAGAGUACCCACUUAUACAUCGAGAUUGCCUGGAUCAGCUUCCUCAACCUUCCUGCGUUACAAAAAACUUUGAGAUUCUGCUAAAAGCUGUAGACUCUCUCCCCCGGGGUGGCGGCGGUGAGGUGGGGGUGGAAUGAUGCAUUUAUUCAUUCACUCAUAAAGCUCCUGGGAGUUCCUGUUGCGGCUCAGUGGUAACAAACCUAACUGGUGUGCAGGAAAACUCGGGUUCGAUCUCUGGCCUCACUCAGUGGGUUGAUGAUCCAGCGUUGUCGUGAGCUGCGGUGUAGGUCACGGAUGUGGCUCGGAUUCCACCCCUAGCCUGGGAACUUCCAUAUGCCAAGGAGGCCCUAAAAAGACAAACACGGGGGAAAAAGAAGCUCUUUCUAAAGGUCCAUUUCAAGGGCUUCAGAGGCCCCAGGGCGUUUCAUCCAUGAACCCUAAUGUCUGACAUCCUGGUGAUGCAUUCAGCUGUGAUGAGCAUACACAGACUCUUGUCUAGAGGGACCAUAAUAAUGAUUCUAGUAGAGGAUCACAAAACUUCCAGACAGGAAGGAUGCCCAAAAAUGGAGGCAGCAAAGCAGUUAUUACGCAGGUGAUGCCCGGCUCCCCUCCCCUGCUGGUGCCCCCACCCAGCACGCGCGUGUGGGCAAACACGCGUGCACACCCGGCCAGGAAUGUGCUGUUUCUGGGCACCCGGACCGUGGGGAGCUGGCUGCAGCCCUGCAGAGACAAACAUCUCUUCUAUGCUGGACUUUAUUUUUCUCACGGUCUCUGAAAGGGCUGCGAUCAGGUGAUAUGUGUGGGACUGCUCCCUGUACAGGUGCGGAGCAGGUACGAAGGGGAGGGAAAAUCCGCCCAGUGUGUACUUACUCAGAGCUCUUUCAAUAGCCCUCCCAGGAUCACUCUUGGCAGGGCAGUUACCACGUCCCUGGCAGGCUGCAGGGAAUCUGAGUGUGAGAAAGUCAGUCAAGCGGAGGAAAGUUGGGGGGGGGAGCCUCAAGUCCUCAGGCAAAAUACCUUUUUUUCUUCUUCUCUGGCUCUUUCUCCUUUCUUUAGCUUCAAACCAAACCCACGCACCAUUCUGAUACCUAGGGACAAAGGGGAGGCUCACUAGAGAUGCGGUUAUUUGUUUUCUAGUUUAAAGCAAACAGGUGACGCAAUAAGAUGGAGAAAAAUCACCCUUCAUGGGGAAGAAAGGGGGAAGGAGACAAAACACAGAAGCCCCUGGUUGUAUUUACUGGACAUGAUACAGUGGGAAACAUUCCUUGUGUUCCACUGGUCUCACAGGGGGAUCAAAGAAGUGACCUCCACUGAUGAACAGGGUUCAGUUUUCUCUGUGCUUUGGGGUGGGGUCAGGGGACAGAGGGCAAGAGGAUGACAAAAAUAAGCGCAGUGCCUCUCCAAGAGAAGCUUUCCAAAUCCAAAAGGGGGGUAGGAGCUUAAUUUCCCAUUUGAGAAGAUGCAGAGGGUGUCCCCUGGGUGUGCUAUUCUCAUUGCCCAGGAUAAGGAUGCUGAAAAAAUAGUCUCCGAGCACAUGUGCAAAGAGACUGUCUUCUUGAGUGGUCAGGAUGGAAGGCUGAUGAUUCUAAGGGUUGGUUUUGGUUGGUUGGUUGGUUGGUUUGGCCCAGAUACAAACUUAUGGCAAAAUUUUGACCAAGCCCAGUCUAUCCAAAAAUGUGAGUAUACGUGGGUGUGUGUAUGUGUGUGUUUUAAACUAUUUGCUCAUUCUCCCAGCCUAAGCACUCCUAAAGUGGCAGUAAAUGAGUUGUUGAUUAACUAUUUGACCAAGGAGGCUGUUUCAGGCACCCUAGUGAGACCAAGACUGCAUUCAACAUUCUCCCUGCAGCUUCAGGGUGUCAAACCCUGAGGAGAUGACAGAGUCAGGGACCAAAAAAAAAAAAAAAAAAAAA